rnacentral:rRNA from 1 species
AUACAGAGGGUGCGAGCGUUAAUCGGAAUUACUGGGCGUAAAGCGCGCGUAGGCGGUUCGGCAAGUCGGGUGUGAAAUCCCCGGGCUCAACCUGGGAAUUGCAUCCGAAACUGCCGGGCUAGAGUGUGGUAGAGGGAAGCGGAAUUCCGCAUGUAGCGGUGAAAUGCGUAGAUAUGCGGAGGAACACCAGUGGCGAAGGCGGCUUCCUGGACCAACACUGACGCUGAGGUGCGAAAGCGUGGGGAGCAAACAGGAUUAGAUACCCUUGUAGUCC